rnacentral:lncRNA from 1 species
UCAAACAGGUUGAGCAUAGUAAAUAGAGGCCAUCAUACGCAUUACUAAUCUCCAGAGGUCUCGUCAGUGAAGGGUUCUGAAAUAAACAGAAAGAAUUAGAAAAUGAAACAACACAUAUAAGAUAUGAAGUACGACUGGUGAUGGAAAUUAGGAUGUAUUUGAAGAAUGGGAUGAAUAAGACCCUGUACAAAGUGGUCUUGGGGGGCAGUACUAAAUUCCUCACCUUUGUUACCUUUACUUUGUAACCAUUAUAAAGUCUAACUAAUAGGGGAUAACGAAUUGUAAACACAUUAAUAAGCUGAGAUCUAUUAAAGGUCAUGUUAUGGGAUGCUCCUGAGUCUAAUAUCCACAAGUCAGUUUUGCCUUUGAAACAACAACAUGACAAUUUAUCAAAAUCUAUUGAAAAAGUGCAAGCAAUAGUACCUGCAAAAUUGACAGUUCCAAGAGUCUUAACAUUGUUGAUAGAGAAAUUUGGUCCAUAAGUGGCAAUGUUGAAGUGUUCAAGUAGAUCAAAAAGGUGAUCAAACUGUUUCUUGGAAAUGCUUACAUUAGGACCAUUAUAUGUUGAUUUUUCAUCCUUGGUAGAAGUCAUAUUUGAUCCUUCCGUGUAGUGGCUACUACUCUUUUGCCUUAGUUGUUGUUGAAUUUGUUAUUGUAUGUACUAUUAUGUGAUUUUUUAUAGUUAUCGCUAUAAUGAGAAAGUGAUUGGCUUGUAAGAAGUACCUAUGCAGCUUAUAACUUCUAUCCUAAAUGUGCCCUGGCCUCUUGCUGUGAUCACAUAAUGGUCUAGAUCUACUAGGUCCAGCCCAGAGCUCCCAAUAUAACUAGUUGAUGAAAAAUUAGUUUGGAAACUCUUUGUUCUUGUAGUACUGUCACUAGAGAUGUGGACUCACCAAACAAUUGGUUAUGUUGCUUUAAUUCUCUUUGUUUCUCUUCCUACACGAGUAGUCCAAAUGCUUAACCCAUGGAAGGCAACAGGUCCAUCUACCUCUAAUUAAUGUAUAAAUGUUAUUAAGCUCCAUAAGGAAUUGAAUUAACCUUCGGUCCUAUUUAGUCUUAUGAAUGAGGUCUUUAGCCCUACAAAUGCACUGGCAUGUGAAUAUAUGUUUUGUAGCCAAUACAUUCAAUUCUUCCCACAACUUCUUCAUCCUGGUGUAGUACCCUGUGAUAUCCAAGGCAGUGGCGGAUCCAGCUCAUAGUGAAGGAGGUUCGUCGGCGGAAAAUUAUACUAUGUAUACAAGAUUAAAAUUAUUUUUCAUAUAUAGUUAACGCUGAACCCCCUUCGACUAAUUAUUUAGUUCACAUUUUUCAAUUUUGAACCCCCUCAAUUAAGAUGCUUGCUCCGCCACUGAUCCAAGCACCUUGACUUAAAUCAUUUAUUUCUUCUGAAUUUGACACAGUUUAGCCCCAUUAGUUUGAUUAUAUUGAUCUUUCAGUUCUCUCCAAUUUUUUGCAGAAUCAAUGACAUACUCAACGCUAUCAGCAAUAUCCUUAGAGAGUGAGUUUAAGAUCCAAGAGGUGACUAGGUUGUCGUACCUUUCCCAUUGACGAAGUUUACUAGAAUGAGCAUCUAGUUUCCUACACUCUCCAGUAAUGAACCCAAGCUUAUUUUUGACUGAGAAUGACCUCAAUGCACUCUUUUUCCAUGAGUGAUAUCCAAUUCCAUAAAAAAUAACAUGAACUAAGCUUGUUCUAGCACUAUCAGAGGGAUGAAUAUAUAGAAGAUUACUUGUAUCAAUCGUAGCUUCAGUAUUAGAGGUCGCACCUUAAUUAUUUGUUGUAUGACUGCUACUUGCAUUGUUGACCACUAUUUUUGUUGAAAAACGAUAUUAGUCCCAAAUUGAGGAGAAAGCAAAUCAACGGAAAAAGUAAUUCACCCCGUUUGAUUUGAUGAUUGUGUUAGCAAAUAGGAAGAAAAGGAAAAGAGAAACUCUCUAAAUUUAAGAAUGACUUUUGAUGAACAAUGUUGGAAAUUUCCUCGAUCACAGUGAGGCCAAAGUAUGAAAGUGAUGCUUUGAGCUAUCCGAGCUCUGAUACCAUGUCAAAAUUGCUUCAAUCAGUCUCCAUUAACAAGGCUUGAACCCAAGGAGGAUGCCAAGAAAUGUAGGAAACAGAGAAUGAAAGGGAAUCACAUAUUUGAGAAUGAAAAACUGAUUUCAUUCUAUGUGGAAGGUCUAUAUAUACACGGGAGAUUGUAUUAGGAAAUAUCUAUGUGCUAACAAUUAAGCUACAACUGCCAUUACUAAACUAACCGAC